CAGCCGCCGCGGUAAAACCAGCACCUCAAGUGGUCAGGAUGAUUAUUGGGCCUAAAGCAUCCGUAGCCGGCUCUGUAAGUUUUCGGUUAAAUCUGUACGCUCAACGUACAGGCUGCCGGGAAUACUGCAGAGCUAGGGAGUGGGAGAGGUAGGCGGUACUCGAUAGGAAGGGGUAAAAUCCUUUGAUCUAUUGAUGACCACCUGUGGCGAAGGCGGUCUACCAGAACACGUCCGACGGUGAGGGAUGAAAGCUGGGGGAGCAAACCGGAUUAGAUACCCGGGUAGUCCCAGCUGUAAACUAUGCAAACUCAGUGAUGCAUUGGCUUGUGGCCAAUGCAGUGCUGCAGGGAAGCCGUUAAGUUUGCCGCCUGGGAAGUACGUACGCAAGUAUGAAACUUAAAGGAAUUGGCGGGGGAGCAC
rnacentral:rRNA from 2 species